rnacentral:rRNA from 1 species
UACGUAGGGUGCUAGCGUUGUCCGGAUUUAUUGGGCGUAAAGGGCUCGUAGGCGGCGUGUCGCGUCGGGAGUGAAAGCCCCGGGCUUAACCUGGGAACUGCAUUUGAUACUACUGAGCUUGAGUACGGGAGAGGAUAGUGGAAUUCCCAGUGUAGAGGUGAAAUUCGUAGAUAUUGGGAAGAACACCGGUGGCGAAGGCGGCUAUCUGGACCGUAACUGACGCUGAGGCGCGAAAGCGUGGGGAGCAAACAGG